rnacentral:rRNA from 1 species
UGAGUAACCUGCCCUUAACUCUGGGAUAAGCCUGGGAAACUGGGUCUAAUACCGGAUAUGACUCCUCAUCGCAUGGUGGGGGGUGGAAAGCUUUAUUGUGGUUUUGGAUGGACUCGCGGCCUAUCAGCUUGUUGGUAAGGUAAUAGCUCACCAAGGCGAUGACGGGUAGCCGGCCUGAGAGGGUGACCGGCCACACUGGGACUGAGACACGGCCCAGACUCCUACGGGAGGCAG